rnacentral:rRNA from 1 species
UACGUAGGGGGGCUAGCGUUGUCCGGAUUUAUUGGGCGUAAAGAGCGUGUAGGCGGCCAGAUAGGUCUGCUGUGAAAACUCGAGGCUCAACCUCGAGAUGUCGGCGGAAACCAUUUGGCUAGAGUCCGGAAGAGGAAAGUGGAAUUCCUGGUGUAGCGGUGAAAUGCGCAGAUAUCAGGAAGAACACCCGUGGCGAAGGCGGCUUUCUGGGACGGUACUGACGCUGAGACGCGAAAGCGUGGGGAGCAAACAGG